AUUGAACGCUGGCGGCAUGCUUUACACAUGCAAGUCGAACGGUAACAGGGAGCUUGCUCCGCUGACGAGUGGCGAACGGGUGAGUAAUGCGUCGGAACGUGCCGAGUAGUGGGGGAUAACGCAUCGAAAGGUGUGCUAAUACCGCAUACGAACUGAGGUUGAAAGUGGGGGACCUUCGGGCCUCACGCUAUUCGAGCGGCCGACGUCUGAUUAGCUAGUUGGUGAGGUAAAGGCUCACCAAGGCGACGAUCAGUAGCGGGUCUGAGAGGAUGAUCCGCCACACUGGGACUGAGACACGGACCAGACUCCGACGGGAGGCAGCAGCGGGGAAUGUUGGACAAUGGGCGCAAGCCUGAUCCAGCCAUGCCGCGUGUCUGAAGAAGGCCUUCGGGUUGUAAAGGACUUUUGUCCGGGAGCAAAUGCUGGUGGCUAACAUCCACCGGAGCUGAGAGUACCGGAAGAAUAAGCACCGGCUAACUACGUGCCAGCCGCCGCCGUAAUAC
rnacentral:rRNA from 1 species